rnacentral:tRNA from 1 species
UCCAGCAUGGCAUAGUGGUUUAAGCAUUAGACUACAACUCUGGAGACUAGGGUUCAAACCCUUGUUCAGCCA